rnacentral:rRNA from 1 species
AAGGCUUGACAUACACCGGUAACGCCCAGAGAUUGGUGCCCUUUGUGGUCGUGUACAGGUGGUGCAUGGUUUGUCGUCAGCUCGUGUCGUGAGAUGUUGGGUUAAGUCCCGCAACGAGCGCAACCCUCGUCCUAUGUUGCCAGCGGGUCAUGCCGGGGACUCAUGGGAGACUGCCGGGGUCAACUCGGAGGAAGUGGGGAUGACGUCAAAUCAUCAUGCCCCUUAUGUCUUGGGCUUCACGCAUGCUACAAUGGCCGGUACAAAGGGCUGCGAUACCGCGAGGUGGAGCGAAUCCCAGAAAGCCGGUCUCAGUUCGGAUUGGGGUCUGCAACUCGACCCCAUGAAGUCGGAGUCGCUAGUAAUCGCAGAUCAGCAACGCUGCGGUGAAUACGUUCCCGGGCCUU